rnacentral:misc_RNA from 1 species
GUAGAAAAGGACAACAAAGAAGUACCCUUUCGUGAAGGAGCAAGAGCAUGGCCCUCUAAAUACUCAAUAUUUUAGCCAAGCCAAGUUGACUUCCAACAACUCAGCAAUAAUUGCAUUGACUUCAGAAUUCUCAUCAACACUUGAAUCUGCUACUUGGGGUGUCGAUAUUUUUAUGCAAAUUCUGCUUUUCUGAGGUUCAGGAGCCCUAAGAUGAAUGACCCAUUUUAGACUUUGACUAGCUGCUAGUUAGUCUCAAGGACAUUCUUAAUCAACAGUCUA